AUGUGGUAUCAUAAUCCAAAGUUUUCAUUUGAGCACGGGCUUAAACCUCUUAAUAAUGGUAAUGAUGAUUUUAGAGAUAAUGAGAGGGAAGAAGUGCAUGUUAAGUCGAGGGAAGAAAUUCAUGUUGAGGAGAGUGAAUAUGUUAGCGAGGAAGAUGAAGAUUUUGUGCAAGAUGAUAAUGAUGAUUUUAGGGAUAGUGAAUUCAAUGACUUAGAUGAAGAUGAUUAA